GCCCUGGCUGGGUGGUCCACCUAUGGCUGGUACUGCUUGGCUGGGGUUCACCUUCUGGUGAACCGGACGUGCUCUUAACUGGGUGGCCGGGGAACCAGGACUUUUACCUUGAGAAAAUUAGAGUGUUCAAAGCAGGCCUUUGCCUGGAUACAUUAGCAUGGAAUAAUAAAAUAGGACAUGUGGUUCUAUUUUGUUGGUUUUUAGAGCCGCUGUA
rnacentral:rRNA from 1 species